AGCCCGCGGCAGGGAGGGGCGCCUGCCCCAGACCUCUGCCGCAGGGGCUGUGCACAGGCCCAGGGCCCAGGAAGGGGCUGGGGGCCAGGUUGGGGUGGGUCUGCGCCUCUCACCGGCCUUGAACGUGGUGGGGCUGUCCGUCGGCAUCAGCAGGACCUUAAACUCCUCGCACCUGCCGGACUUCUGCCUGCAAAAGCCCCAAGACGGCGCCCUCCGCGUCCACACCCACUCGAACCUUCACCCUUCCUCCCAGAAACGUGCCGGACUUUCCGCGGCCACAGCCGGCCGGGGCGGGGCACCCUGCCUCACCUCCUCGGCCGCACCUGAGGCCGCCCGCAGCCCCCACGCCUCCCACCUGGCCAGGCGGAGCCCACGCUCCUCUCACGGCACAGCCCUGGGCACCGCCCCCGGGUACACCUGUGCCAGCAACACACAGCGGCCCACCACACCUUCGGCACCACCUGCCCUGCCUGGGCAGUGCUGUGGCCUCUGCCCCCGACCCCGUGCACAGCCCCUGCUGGCGGAGCUGGGUCGGGAGCCCUUGGCCUGUCCCCCUGCAUCUGGGGCAGGUGCCCCUCCCCGCCUUGGUGGGAGCCCCUGCAGGGGACGGCAGAGGCGCAGGGUGCGCCCGGUGUCCGAUGGCUCCCGGGACUCCCGUCUCCAGCCCUGGUGCAUGGGUGGUGCCUCGGUGCUCGGUGCUCUCGGUGCAGCCGCCGCGGCGGACCGUCGUGUUCCCGGGGCCAUUGGUGGGAGGCAGCCCGUGCUGGGGGAGGGGCCCGAGCCCCGUGUGAGGGCCCUGCAUGCCAGGCUCUCUGCUGCCCCUGCCUGCCGCCCCUCGCAGGGUCCCCCACCCAGGUCUGCAGCCGGGGGGGCUUCAGGGCAAAUCCGCAGUCUCCACACCCGGACGGCAACACCCGCGCUCACCGUGGGGCCUCGAGCGCCGAGCUCCGUCUUUUGGAAGCUCGGGUCCCUGGCUUUGCCCCACCCCCGCCCCGGGCCUCGUGGAGCAGGUGUGGCCACACAGGCUCUGCGUGCUGGGGCCAGGUGCUCUGUUCCGGUGCUGGCCCAGUGGACACCAGGCACAGCUCUGAAGGUCAUCGGGACUGCCAGGCAGGGCUGAGGCCCAGCACAGGAAGCAGCUGGCCGUGCAACGCACGGGGCCAAACGCAGGUGCUCGUGUGGACAGGUGGUGGUGUGGACAGGUGUGGACAGGUGGUCGUGUGGACAGGUGGUCGUGUGGACAGGUGGUCAUGUGGACAGGUGUGGACAGGUGCUCGUGUGGACCGGUGGUCAUGUGGACAGGUGUG
rnacentral:lncRNA from 1 species